rnacentral:rRNA from 1 species
AACGGCUAUACCAUGCUGAAUAUACCGGUUCUCGUUAGAUCACCGAAGUCAAGCAUCAUUGAGCGCGGUCAGUACUUGGGUGGGUGACCACCUGGGAACAUGC